GAUGAACGCUAGCAGCAGGCCUAACACAUGCAAGUCGAACGGUAACAUAAUCACGCUUCGGCGUGAUUGAUGACGAGUGGCGCACGGGUGCGUAACGCGUAUAGAACCUACCCUGUACAGGGGGAUAGCCCAUGGAAACGUGGAUUAAUACCCCGUGGUGAUCUUAAUUGGCAUCGAUUAAGGUUUAAAGCUUUCGGGCGGUACGGGAUGGCUAUGCGUCUUAUUAGUUAGUAGGUGAGGUAACGGCUCACCUAGGCAGCGAUAAGUAGGGGCCCUGAGAGGGGGAUCCCCCACACUGGUACUGAGACACGGACCAGACUCCUACGGGAGGCAGCAGUGAGGAAUAUUGGACAAUGGGCGGAAGCCUGAUCCAGCCAUGCCGCGUGCAGGAAGACGGCCUUAUGGGUUGUAAAACUGCUUUUUUAUACGGGAAGAAUAAUCGCCACGUGUGGUGAGAUGACGGUACCGUAAGAAUAAGGACCGGCUAACUCCGUGCCAGC
rnacentral:rRNA from 1 species